rnacentral:sRNA from 1 species
UGUUCAAAAUCUACAAAAGGAAGAAUGAAAAAAAAAAAAAAAGAAACCGGAAAAACAAGGGAGGAUAGAACUCAUAUCUUGAAAUGUACCUCUAUAUUCAUUCUCAUUUUUUAUAUACAGAUGGUAUAGUGAUGAAUAGUAACAAUAGCCUAGGUGAUAUAAUAGACAGGUGAAAGGACUAAGACACUGAACACUGAAAAAAUGAAUGAAAAAAAUGACAAGACAGUGGGGGGUACUCCUUUUUUAAUCAACCGAUUGAUUGAUUGAUUGAUAGAUCAGUCAGUCAGUCACAAAAGAACAAGAAAAAACAAAGAGCAUAACCAGAGUAAUCAAAAGAAAUAUAAAAAAAAGAGGCAGAAAAACCUUGUACAGUAUGCAUUUGAAGAGAAAUAUAUCAGAAAUGAAAGAGAGAAAAAGACACAAAAUGCAAAGUGAAAAACAAAAUAUAAACCCAACCACCCAAACCCAUUGAAAAGGUCACACACACACACACACACAUAUAUAUAUAUAUAUCUAAAGAAGAAAAAACUUUCCUUUUCACCAUUUAGCCUUUUUCUGGUUCUCCCUUUAUUUUUUAGUGGG